GGUUUAUAAGCUGAGGAGUGACUCCAGUUCCUCACAGACUGAUCGCGACUGUACUCUUGUGACUGCACGCUCAACAACAAACCAACAAACAUGAAAUUCUUCAGGGUACUCGGUAUGAUCGCCGCUCUGCUGCUCGCCGCACAAGUCGCGAGUGCACAAGAGACUGCAGCUCCCCGCGGCCCGAGAAAUGAAGAAAUCCCAGUAGGUUCUGUGAGCCAGGGACAUGAAGAUGAGGCUGUAGACGCAAGCAAACCAAGUCCAGGCGUGGGACACCACGAAUGAACGAAUGCAAACAGAAACACGGCCACAACGACUGAUAAUGUAGAACUUAUAUUGUGAUAUAAAUAAAUUAAAUAUUUAAUAUU